rnacentral:misc_RNA from 1 species
AAACCUGUCAAUGAGCUCCAAAUUAAGGAAUGCAUCCUUUGGUCCCUCAGCUUCCGACUUAGACCACACAGUUCCACCGAAAAAUGGUGCCAAAAGCACAUAACCCCUGACAUGAACAGGACCCAACUCUGGUGAACCAACCUCCAGCCGGACAGCCAAAUGAUGAGCAAUAUUCCCACCGGCAGAAUCACCAGAAAUGAACACCUUCCCAAAAUCAGCCACCUCAGUCAGCCAUGUAUCCGCCUCCUCAGAAACCGCCUGACCUUGAAGCCAUUUCACAGCCAAGAACCCAUCUUCAAUGGCCGCCGGAAGCCUGUUUUCCGGAGCCAAACGGUAGUCUGGCGAAACAAUCACAGCUUGAAGAUCCAAACAAAGCUUGAAACAAUAGUUUUGACAAUUAGGCCAAGUUCGAGACCCAAUACAAAACCCACCACCGUGGAUAUAGUAGAAGAUCGGAAGCUUGGUCGAAGAAGAAGAAAAAGCUGGCUUGUAGAGGCGAAGGUGAAGAUUAUUCACAGGAUCAAAGAUAAUAUCUUUCCACAGAACAGAGCC